rnacentral:rRNA from 1 species
AGUGAACGCUGGCGGUAGGCCUAACACAUGCAAGUCGAACGGCAACACAGUAAGAGCUUUCUCUUACGGGUGGCGAGUGGCGGACGGGUGAGGCAUACAUCGGAAUCUACUUAUUCUUGGGGGACUACGUAGGGCCACUUACGCUACUACCGCAUACGAUCUACGGGUGGAAGCAGUGGAUCUUCGGACCUUUCGUGAUUCAAUUAGACGGUGGCGGACUAGAUAGUUGGCGGGGUAAAGGCCCACCAAGGCCACGAUGCGUAGCUGGUCUGAGAGGAUGAUCGGCCACACUGGAACUGAGACACGGUCCAGACUCCUACGGGAGGCAGCAGUGGGGAAUAUUGCACAAUGGGCGCAAGCCUGACCCAGCAAUACCGCGUGAGUGAAGAAGGCCUUCGGGUUGUAAAGCCCUGUUAUUGGGAAAGAAAAGCAGCAUGAUAAUACCCCGCUGUUCUGACGGUACCUAAAGAAUAAGCACCGGCUAACUUCGUG